CAAGUUUUCAUUUCCGAUGGUUAUCGCUGCAUGGUCAGAGAUGCUGAAAGAGCAACUCCAGUAAAAGAGGAGCGUAGAGAGCAGGUGUUGGUUCCCAUUUCAAAUCUUGAACCUAAAUAACGGGUUUGAAAAUGAUGCUACUCUUGUUCUUACUCUCCAAUUUAGAGGUGAUGAAAUCCCCCGGCCUGUGGAUUAUUUGACCAAGAUGCCACCUGACCUUACAUCCUCUGGCAGAUCCUGAUGGGAGUCGUUACAAAGAGGACAAUAUGGCUUUAUGGUGACUUUCACUGACAUGCAAGGUUUUCAGAGACAUUUUCAGCAAGCCCAAGUUCAGAGAAAAGGUCCCCUUUGUAUGUCCAAACAGUAAUUUUUUUAAAUCUAAAUUGUGAGUACUUUAAAAGAUACUUGAGAAAGUCUGUCUGUCUGUCUGUCCAUCUAUUUCUGUUUGUUUGUUUGUGCAAUCUAUCUAUCUGUCUGUUCUUCCUAUCCAUCUGUCUGUCUAUCUAUCUCUACCUAUCUGUCAUGUCUAUCCGUCCAUCUGUCUGUUUGUCUGUGUCUGAUAGACUGUAUUGCCUUCAAAACUUUCAGCUUGAAAACUACUUUGCUGCAAACUGAAAUUCU